CCCGACACCGACGACGAGGAGACAUUGGUUAAUGAAGAAGUCUACAAAAAUGGGAAGGGGAGGGGGAAAUGAUGUAUAUUUAAAUAUUACUGACCAAGUCAAUUCAUCAGGAUGUAAUUGGAAAUCGAGGAUAUCCGAAUAUAUGCGAGAGUCUGAGUCAGCGCACCUACGUGCGCCACUUCCGAAUUUGAACUCAAAGGAAUCGUAAUACACAGGAUACGUAGCAAACAUAUGCCAUGCACGUACUAAGAGCGCAUAUAAAACAACGAGGUCAUAUCUUUCCCCAUGAAAAUCUCGAUCUUAGACACGUACGAUACCUCGGCGAAAAGAAGAUUACGAAUUGUUUUUUCAAUUCUUGUUAAUUGUUCCGAUCAAAUUAAAAUGAAUGGCUCAAGAUGUUUUCAUAUGUCUACGCAUAUUUUGAUGUUUAAUUAUACCUGUAAUUCAAAAAAGGGGAAGAAAAAAAAUAGCAGUAGAGAAUCAUAGUGAUCAAGUAUGACGUUGACAUCGAGCUGAUCAGUUGUGACACAUAUUGUUAUACAUAAUUGUAGCACAAUUAUGUAUAACAAUAUGUCAUGGCUUAUUUCGAGCUAUAAUUAAAUUAACUUUAAAUUAAUAUAAUCAACAAACGUUUCGACUUACAAAGCCUUCCUCAGUGUUAAAACGCAGAAAUACAAUCUUAAA